AAGAAGGAAGGUAACUCUGUACCUCUCUUGAGUAUUGUAUACUUUGUGUGUGAUUAUUUGGCUUCGUGUGUGAAUAUCUGGUUUCGUGAUAUUUUGCUUGUCGAAACUGUUUUUCUUUUCAAACUGGUGCAUUAAUCAUGACUUCUAAUACGAAUACUGGUACCUCCUCCUCGGUAGACUCUACCAGUCCUCUAUUUGUAUACUCCUCUGAUGUGCCUGGGGUCUCUCUUGUUCCUAACUCCUCGGUAGACUCUACCAGUCCUCUAUUUGUAUACUCCUCUGAUGUACCUGGGGUCUCUCUUGUUCCUACUCCCUUCUCAGGAAGUGGUUAUGGGGGUUGGAUGAGAAAAAUGUUUGUUGCAUUAUCUGCUAAAAAUAAGAUUGGUUUUGUUGAUGGGACGUGCUCCCGACCAGCCACUAAUGUGGCUCAACAAAGGUUAUGGGAUAGGUGCAAUAACAUGGUGAUUUCUUGGUUAACUGCCUCCCUCUCCCCACUCUCUUGUUCCUACUCCCUUCCCGGGAAGUGGCUAUGGGGGUUGGAGGAGAAAAAUGUUUGUUGCAUUAUCUGCUAAAAAUAAGAUUGGUUUUGUUGAUGGGACGUGCUCCCGACCAGCCACUAAUGUGGCUCAACAAAGGUUAUGGGAUAGGUGCAAUAACAUGUUGAUUUCUUGGUUAAUUGCCUUCCUCUCCCCACAAAUUGCUGAAAAUGUGCAGUAUUCUGAUACUGCACAAAGUAUAUGGUCCCAACUUCAUGCCAGAUAUGGCACUGCAAACAGGACCAAAAUUUUUGAGUUGAAAAGAGAGUUGUCCCACACCUCUCAAGGGUCCUUUGAUAUAGC
rnacentral:lncRNA from 1 species